rnacentral:rRNA from 1 species
GAUGAACGCUGGCGGCGUGCCUAAUACAUGCAAGUCGAGCGAACAGACGAGGAGCUUGCUCCUCUGACGUUAGCGGCGGACGGGUGAGUAACACGUGGAUAACCUACCUAUAAGACUGGGAUAACUUCGGGAAACCGGAGCUAAUACCGGAUAAUAUAUUGAACCGCAUGGUUCAAUAGUGAAAGACGGUUUUGCUGUCACUUAUAGAUGGAUCCGCGCCGCAUUAGCUAGUUGGUAAGGUAACGGCUUACCAAGGCAACGAUGCGUAGCCGACCUGAGAGGGUGAUCGGCCACACUGGAACCGAGACACGGUCCAGACUCCUACGGGAGGCAGCAGUAGGGAAUCUUCCGCAAAGGGCGAAAGCUUGACGGAGCAACGCCGCGUGAGUGAUGAAGGUCUUCGGAUCGUAAAACUCUGUUAUUAGGGAAGAACAAAUGUGUAAGUAACUAUGCACGUCUUGACGGUACCUAAUCAGAAAGCCACGGCUAACUACGUG